CAGAUAUAUCUAUAAUACACGCUGUAAACUUGAUUUUGUUUCGGUAUUUGUUACUUUUGUUAUUCUUUUUCAUGCAUUUUAUGUCUACACUAAGUUUCACAGGUCAUGUUUUUGCACAAAGCUAUUUCUUAUUCUUCUCCCCAGUCUAACGUUACAGAUGUAAAAGUCCGCAUUUGAUAUAGGCCUAAAUAUUGCCGGGCCUUGAUGUGAUCUCAAGCUCAACAGCAUAAAAACAAACAUGAAUACUUUUAACAUUAUAAUUUGAAAAGAAUUCUCUAAAGUUCCACUUUUUCUACAAAAAAUAUUAUGGUAGAUUUUCCCGUACAGCACCCCAAACACAGCUACAGUCUGUUCUAUAGAACCAACUGCACACAAUGACUCCUCCCUGGGAUGAUACAAACAAGAUUUAGUUUUGUUUGGUUUUAAUGAAAAUUCUCUGGAGGUACAGAAUGCAACAAAGUAAAGUAACAGAAGACUCGGUUUAAUUAAGACUGCUCACGACAGGUAAUUAAAUGUGAAACAUCCCUCCUGCCCCUUAUCACCGGCUAAAGUGGAACUUCAUUAUACAUACAGAUAGAAUGGACACCAUGAUCUAAAAGCACCAGAAAAUAUAACAACACUUGUCCAAGUCACACUGACAAAAGUUCUGUUCAUACGGCUUUCAAGCUUUUCAUGCCCUUGUACAUGUGUCCUUUCAGGCAUUUUUGUGGGAACACCUUUCAACAAGCCAGCUGGAUGGUUGCCUCACUCACACAGAUGAGGGCAUAUCAAACAACAACAACAACAACAACCCACAACAAGGAUAACGAUUGAAUAAUUAUAGAUGGGAAAAGCGCACACAGAUGUUAAGAGAUUGAAAGCCAGUAAAAUAAAUAUUAGAAGACAAGACAGAAAUUGUUAAUAGAUAUCCUUAUACUAGAUGGUGUACAUUGUUGAUAUUCUGCACAAAUAUGAUUCAACAAUAUAUUUUGCCGAUUGUCAAUGGGUAUGUGUUUAAGAGGUAAGUUAGUUUCUGUUCUGGUAUCAUAUCAGCACAUUCAUUCAUUGACAUCAGUUAUUUCCCACAGUACUGUACACAGAUACGUAUCUGAUUAUAUUUAUCAAAUCAAGUCAAACGUUUUUGUUCUACUGGUUCUCCUACAUAUCGCCCCGUUUCUAUCCUUAAAGGAUUAAUCCAAUUAACCAAUUAAUCCAAUUGAAUAACUAAACAAGUGUACAGAACUUUUUAGUGGGGGGGGGGAUUUUUAUUUAUUUAUUUAUUUUUGGUGUGGGGGUAUGGGAGUAACCUUUCUUGUAAGUCUGUAUCAGUGUGUUUAUACAUGCGUGUCUAAUCAGAAUCUAACUUAGUAAGUAUUGAAAAGACUCCUCAUGCUAUGUUACAAUCCUCUAAUGUUCCUGGACUCUAGGUCAAACACUUUUUAGAUACAUGCGACACAAAAUUUUACGAAUUCGGCGCAGUAAUUGCGGAGAAACCUACUAACAUGCAAAGCUUUUGCUACGCUGGCGCCAAAGCGGACACGGGCGAAAAAAAAUAAAAUAGUCGUAGUAAAAAUAAGUAAUCCUAGAUCACCCUUUCUUUUUCUCCUUUGGACACUUCUUGAAAUUAGUAAAUCCCGAGCGUAAUUCAAUCAUAUAAGCAUAUUAAAAUUGAAAUUCGAAACACGUGCCCGUCACCGAUGUUGGUUUGAACUUUGCUUGCGGUGUAGCAUUCUUUUUGUGGGGAGCCAUCCAGUUGGCUUACGGAUGUCAAUGGUUUUACCCAGAUUCCCGUCUAUGCCUGAUAAAACUGGAGGGAACCCGGGGUCUUUAUCAGCCAGUAAAGUUGGAAAAGGUCAACGUAUGACCUACGUUGUGUCAAUGUGACCAGUGAAAAUACCAAGAAUUAAAAAUAUUAACUUUGACAGUUUUAAGGAAAUCAAAAACAAUAAAAUAUCUAUCACUAUUGUGAAUAUGUGGAAACAUUUUGAAAGUGCAAAGUUUACGCUUUACCCCCAAAAAACAGACAAACAGGAUUGUUGGAUAUUCAGACAGCGUACUAAUUCUUUCUAGCUAGACAGUAUUUUAGUGAUUAGUAUUAGUUAUGCUGGUAACUAUGUGCAGCGAGCAAAAAGAUGGGAUUUAUUUGUAAAAUUUAAGCAAGUGUUUUUUAAAUGUACAUAGAAGUAUGGGAUCGCAACGAUAUUGCAUGGAACAACGUAUAUCGAAUGUUUAAUCAAAUGCAGUAAUACACUUUUCCUAAUUGCUAUGAAAAUGAGUUCAUGCAGAUACUCUGUGUGUUCUUUUCAAAAAAGAAAUGCUACACACUACCUACCCAUAGACUGAGCCUGUACCAACAAUUACGUUUAAUUAAAUAAACCUUGAAAAUAUAAAUGUUGAAAUGUUAAAUCUUUUACAAAAAUUUAAAAACUGCCAUCUGCUGCUAUCGCAUAUAAAACAGUUAUCAAAAAAUUUAGAACAAUGACACGAAGUCUCUUACAUACAUUGUCUUAAGAAUUUUUCUUGAAUGUGUUAAGUGAUUUACUUUUGCGUAGUUCUGACGGCAGUUUAUUCCACAGUUUUGGACCAAUAGUACAGAAACUUCUAUCAUUGAAUGUUUUGCACUUGUUGUAUGGAAAAACAUAAAGACAUUCAGAAUUUUCUGACGCUACUAGGAGUAAACUAUGUAAAAAUUCUGUUAAAUACAUUGGUGCUUUGCCAGUGUGACAGCUAAGCAUGAAAGAAAGAACCCCCUGACCCUACUAAAAUGAGGGUAGUACCCUACCAGUACCUUAAAAUCAAGACAAAAAAAUGCAUCAGAGGCCACCAUUUCAUACCUGUAUUUCAAAAUUUCCUAGUGGAAGAGUCCCCUGACCCUCCCCCCUCUAAAAUGACAGAGGUACCCCUCCCAUAGAUCAAAAUUUAUAUUAUAACAUAAAAUGCACCAGAGCCAAGCAUUACAUACUUGUAUUUCAACAUGUUCCAGGGGGAGAGCCCCCUAACCCCCUAAAAUGAAGGGGAGUACCCCUUCAGUACCUCAAAAUUAGACCAAAAAAGCGCCCCCCUUCGCCCCACCCAAUACGGGCAGAGGCACCUCCCGUACCUACCGCACGUCGCUGGUGACGCCUUUGUUCUAAAUUUGUGCCCCCGACCACCCCAAUCAACUAUUUCUUGAUCUCGGCCAUGUGUGUAAUGAAAUUCUUUCAGGUCGACGCAACACAUGCGAUACAACGCUCGACAAUAAUACGCGCGGCACGACGCACGAUGAGAUAAACACAGAAUAACGUAGUCCUGAAAUUAUUUCAGUCCUGUGGCGAGUACUGCGUUAGUGCUCAAACCUUUAAAUAUUAAUUAUAUAACGUGUGUAUGGCGCGGGACCAUUGAAAAGAAAACGUGCAGCUCAGAACGAUAUGUAAUUUCAGCCCUCAUUGCAAGCAUGCACUCACCCAAUCUUAUCUCUAAGUUGUAAAGACUGUUGAGCUUACCUUAUUUUGCUGUGCGACAUUUAGCGUUGGUGUUGCGACAUAUAACGGUGGGCAAAUUUUUGCGACAUUUAACGUUAAAGGUGCGACAUUUAGCGGCAGAUGAUUUUGCGACAUUUAGCGAUGGUUGCGACAUUUAACGUCAAGCUUGCGACAUUUAACGGUGGUUGCGACAUUUAGCGGUGUUGCGAAAUUUAACGGUGCCGGGUUUAAAGGACUAAAUAAGUACCAUUUUAACGAAACAUUUCGAGAUAAAUAAGUGGAUAUGUGGUUGGCAGAAAUAUGGCACCAUAGAUAUCACAUAAUUUAAGAUAUUAUCAAGGUCGAACGUAUUUUGGUUCUGUAUCAUGUUAAUUACGUUAGCAAAACGUUUGGAAACGAAAGUAGGAAAGAACGUAAUUUCCCUUAUUUUUCUAAUGUUUGCAUCUUUUUAGCAUUAAGUCGUCCAUAGAUGGUGUGAAGACAACAUACAACAAGUGGAUAACAAGCAGUUUUGUCACUUGCCUGAUAAUAACUGAAUAAGUGACACUUUUACGAAACAUUUCGAGAUAAAUAAGUGGAUAUGUGGUUGGCAGAAAUAUGCCACCAUAGAAAAUACAUAAAGAUGCAUACUGUAGGAUUUAUGUGCCACAUGUUUUAUGUAUUCUAUAUCAAUGCUAAAAGCUAUGAUUUAUUUCAUUUAAAGUUAAAUCAUAAUGAUGUUUGUAUUUAUGAAGAAUGACAGUUACCUUUUUUUUUAUCCUGCAAUGUCAGUUAUUAUUUUGCACGUUUUCUUCCAUGUUUAUGCAUGUAUCUAUUUGUUAUUUCAUAUUUCCAAGGAGUGCAUUGCACUUUAACUAAAUUGUCACCAUUUAUUAACUUUACUCCAUCCAUUUAUCUGUAUUUUGUGUGAAUGUUAAUUUCCUAAAACUAUUCCUGAAAUUUAUGGAGGCUGACAUGUUGUUUACUGCAGCGUGUAGAAAUACAUCCAUUUUCAUAUUCUAAUGCAGCAUAUUUGUACCAUUUUGUGUAAUAUUCAUUGAUAGGAUAUUAGAAACAUAUUUUAAUCAUUAAUUGUCACUGAAACUUUUCAUUAUUGUUCAUUUUUGUGAAAGAAGUGCGCACUAUUUGUUAGGUCAUUCGCGGUGUAAAUUUGGAAUCACCGGAAUUCUCCAUUUUUUUGCAUCAAUUACAGUUUAUCUAUCCAAAUGUUACUCAUUAUUUGAUUUAAUACCAUAAGAGAUAUAUUGUCUUUGUGAAGUAUUGCUCACAUUUUAUUGUAUGUCGUAUUAUUCAUAAUUUUACUUGGAGAUUCCGCUUAGCGUAUUUUAGGAUGAGAUUUCCUACCCAACUCUGAUUGGCUUAGAAAAUUCCUAAGUGCAAUCUGAUUGGAUGAGGCAUCCCUCCUAAAUUCCUAAACGGGUCAAAGCUUAUAAAUAGAGCGAUCUGCCUCACUUUGGAAGAUCAGUUGCGAAAGCGCCAUUAUUCAAAUUAUUAUUGGUCAAAACAACUAACGCACAAUUCCUAAAUCCAAUUUUUAGUAAGUAAUUAGGAAUCUUUCCUAAAUAUCGGUUAUCCAAUCUUAGGUUCAUUGAAUUAGUAUUAUAUAAAAACAAGUAUAGGUAUACUUGUAUACAAAAUAGUUUUAGAACUUUAGGAAAUGAAAUCCUAAACUUAGGAUUUUAUCUUAGUUUUUAGGAAUACGGUCUAAUAUAUUUACUUAGGCAACUGUCCCCAUUUGAGAGCCGGCGCACUUCAUGAAUAUGAUUAUUUUUUAGGAUUUAGGAUUGCUAUUUGUAUGUUAUAUGUCAGUUAUAAUGCAUCAUUGCAUUUAAUACAGAGUUUUACAACUGA
rnacentral:lncRNA from 1 species